AUGUAAAAUCAUACAGUGGCCUUGCUGGCUUUCUUUGGUAAUCUUCCCUUAUGACAUCACACAUGUGACAUCAUCAAGUGUUUGGAGCUAUCUGUACCAGCCACUUGUACAGUUCAGGCCUUAGCUAUCAGAGGGAGCGCACACAAAGAGCAGGAGAUGAGGAAGAGGACAAGAUGACACAGGAGAGUGGCCUUGUCGGCUUUCUUUGGUAAUCUUCCCUUAUGACAUCACACAUGUGACAUCAUCAAGUGUUUGGAGCUAUCUGUACCAGCCACUUGUACAGUUCAGGCCUUAGCUAUCAGAGGGAGCGCACACAAAGAGCAGGAGAUGAGGAAGAGGACAAGAUGACACAGGAGAGUGGCCUUGCUGGCUUUCUUUGUUAAUCUUCCCUUAUGACAUCACACAUGUGACAUCAUCAAGUGUUUGGAGCUAUCUGUACCAGCCACUUGUACAGUUCAGGCCUUAGCUAUCAGAGGGAGCGCACACAAAGAGCAGGAGAUGAGGAAGAGGACAAGAUGACACAGGAGAGGUAAAUAAAUCCUAAAUAUUGGUCAGAAUACAUCUAGAGUUCUAGACUUGCAAAUGAUGACUAGAUCUAUUUAAUGUAAUGUGUCCAAAUAAUAAUGUAAAUUGUAUUAAAUCUAAUUAUUUUACUAGACACUUUGCUGAUGUUCACAAAUGACCAAGUAUAUAAUGUUUAUUCAAUUCUAUUACACAAAGAGUUGGGGGGUGCAAGUAUUGUAUGCGUAUAUUAAGUCUAUGGGGGAGAAUCAUCAAAAUCUGUGUAGAGGAAGAGUGGAGCAGUUGCACAUAGUAAUACUGAAUCAUAAAAAGAAAUGCAUACAUUGAAUUUUCUUUAACAGGAAUGUCCCACAGAGCAAAUUUGGUAAAAUCAGAUGUGUGCCCCAUACAUGUAUGUGUGAGAUUGCACUUCACCACUACUAGUAGCUCAGAGCUAAGCUGCUUCCUUCAUGCUCAUGGAGUUGAA